rnacentral:rRNA from 1 species
ACACACGGCCACAGGUGCUGGAAAAGUUCGGGAUCCCGUCCGCUCUCCCCUCGACAAACCAGCAACCGCUGGGUUAGUAGUUGGGCCGGCUACGACUAGCGAAUUUCUGGUGUGUUGUUUGUC